AUAUCACAACGGUGGCUUGCCCGAGUUUCACCUCUAAGCUUUGAACUUGAAGCUGCAUUGAAGUUGGCUAGAUAUUUGUGCAGGUCCUGCUCCCUGGCAUCUCGGGCUAUCGCUGUUGGCAUGGCGGUCUCAUCACCAUCAGGUACCAAUGUAAAGAAUGUUGUAUUCUCUACAGACUGAGCUGGCUUUUCCCAAUUUUCUUCAUGUAUAUACCUAUGAAUAUUUGCUAAAGAGGAGCUUGUAGAAUCAUCUCUCUCUUCAUCAGCUUGCAACAUCAAUUAUCUAUAUUUGAGCUAUA